rnacentral:ncRNA from 1 species
GUUUCAGGGCGAGGUGUAAUUCCUCACCGGCAGUUAAAGUCUGCGACCGCAUAUUUUGAAAUAUAGAUGUGCGUUGACAAGGUGUAAUUCCUUGACCGACGGUUAUAGUCCGGAUGGGAGAAA